rnacentral:lncRNA from 1 species
AGGAGGACUCCUUUGGGAGACCGGUCCCCUGUCCUCGCCCUCACUCCAUAAGGAGAUCCACCUACAACCUCGGGUCCUCAGACCAACCAGCCCAAGCAACAUCUCACCAAUUUCAAAUUGGCUCUACCUACAAGAAGCACUGGGAAAUAUCUUUGGACCCCACGAUUAGGUGAUGUGACUCCCCUUCCUGGGCUCUUUCCUCAGGAGGUAUUGUGACAUAUUCCUGGACCAAGUACCUAGGUAAUGUAACUCUUUUCUAGUGCUUGGACUUUACCCAAGGAGAGAUUGUAAUGUAUCACUGGACCCAGCACCUAGGUUACAUGACUUUCCUCUUUUGACUGAGUCUUGCAUAAAUUGUGUAUUGUGACAAAUAACUGAGUCUAAAAGCUAGGUGAUGAGACUCUUCUGAAUGGACCCUGUCUACAGGGGUAUUAUGACAUAUCUUUUUUUAUACUGCCUAGGUGAUGUGACUUUGUGUGUGUGUGUGUCCCGGCCCUGCCAAAAGUGGGGAUCGUAACAUAUCACUAAACUUAGCACCAAGGUGUUAUGACUCUCCUUGUUUGCCUGGGCCCUGCAUAUAUUUGGUAAUAUGACGUAUGGCUGAGACAAACACCUAGGGCAUGAGAACCUCCCGCCUGGGUCCUGGCCACAAGGAGUCUUUUGGCUUAUCUCUGCAUCCAUCAACCAGGAGAUGUGACUCUUCUUUUCUGUCUGGGUUCUACAAAAACAAGUGAUUGUGACAUAUUAUCAAACCCAGCAACUAGAUGAUGUGAUUUUUCUUCCCUGCUUGAACUCUGGAUAUGCUGUGUAUUGUGAUAUAUGGCUGGGUCCAACAUUAAGGUAAUGUGACUCUCCUGAAUGGUCUCUGCCCACAGGAAUAUUAUGACAUAUCUUUACAUUUAACACCUUGGUUACGUGAAUCUUUUUAUCUCCCCUCUUGAAUUAGGGAUUGUGAUAUAUCGCUGAACCUAGCACCUAGGUGAUGUGACUUUGUUUUAUUGCCUGUGUCCUGCAUUUUUUAAGUAUUGUGACAUGUCCCUGGCCACAACAUCUAAAGAAUUGGGAGGAGAGAUUGUGACAUAUCUCUGGAACCAGAACCUUAGUGAUGUGACGCUUCUCUCCUGCUGAAGCCAUGCCCACACAAGGGAAAGUGACUUAUCACUGGGCCCAGCACACAGGUGAUGUAAUUCUUCUGCCUGGUUUUUGUACCCAGGAGCCAUUGUAAUCUAUCUCUGGGCCCAUCAUUUAAAUGAUGUGACUGUCAUUUUCUUCCUGAGCCCUAUUCACAGGGAAAAUAAUGACACAUCUGUGGGGUUCUCACCGAAAUGAUGUGACUCUCCUGCCUGGGCUCACCUCUCAAGGGAAUUGUGACAUAUUACUGGGCCAGCCACCUAGGUGAUGUGGCUCUGACAAAGGAGAAAUUGUGAUGUACCACUGUUCCACACCUAAGAGAUUUGACUCUCAUCUUUUCAUGAGCCCUGCAUUUAUUGUGUAUUGUGACAUAUGGCUUGAUCCAACACCUUGGUGAUGUGACUCUCUACUUCUUCCUGAGCUAUGCCAAAAAAGAAGAUUGUGACAUAUCACUGGAUCCAGUACCUAGAUGAUGUAAAUCUUUUCUUUUGCUGAGCCAUGCAUAUUUUUGGUAUUGUGACAUGUCGCUGGACCCAACACCUACAGGAUUGGAUCAGAGGCUACUGAAUAAGCCCUGCCCAUAGGCGGCCUUGUGACAUAUGUCUGCAUCUAUCGCCUAAGUGAUGUGACUCUUUUUCUGCCUGCAGCCUGCACAUAGAGAAGAUUGUGACAUAUAGCUCUGCCCAGUAACCAGGUGAUGUGUCUUUUCUGGCAGGUCUUUUCCCACAGGGAGCAUUGUGAAACAUCACUGGGCUCAGCCACCAGGUUAUGUGACUCUUCUGCCUGUGCCCUGCUUCCAGAAAAUAUUGUGACAUUCCUCAUACAGCAUCCAGGUGAUGUGACUCUUCUGCUCAUUUUCUACUUACAGGAGACAUGCCCAAAAAAGGGAUUGUGGCAUAUCUCUGAGCCCAGCACCCAAAUGUUGUGACUCUCCUGCCUGAGCUGUGCCUAGAGAAAAUAUUAUAAUAUGUCACCGGACCCUGCAUGCAAGUGAUCCAAUUCUCCAGUCUGGGCCUUGCCCAUAGAGGAGAUUGAGACAUAUUCCAGGUCAUGCAAAUGGAGGCGGAUUUUGACAUAUCAUAAAGCCAACAUAAUACACAGUCUGCAGGUGGAAUUGGGACUCUCAUGCAUGGAUCCAGUUCAUCAUUGAUACUGUGACUCAUGUACUUGGAUGCAACUCACAGGAGGUGUUGACGCUUUUUACCUGAAGCUGGGACAUGUGUGGAAUUGUGAAUCCUAGCCCUAGAUCUUCCCACAGGUAUGAUUGUGACAUAUACUUUUGCCUAGCA